UACGUAGGUGGCAAGCGUUGUCCGGAAUUAUUGGGCGUAAAGCGCGCGCAGGCGGUCCUUUAAGUCUGAUGUGAAAUCCCACGGCUCAACCGUGGAAGGUCAUUGGAAACUGGGGGACUUGAGUACAGAAGAGGAAAGCGGAAUUCCAAGUGUAGCGGUGAAAUGCGUAGAGAUUUGGAGGAACACCAGUGGCGAAGGCGGCUGUCUGGGGUAUUGCUGACGCUGAGGCACGAAAGCCAGGGGAGCGAACGGG
rnacentral:rRNA from 1 species